rnacentral:rRNA from 1 species
AAUAGAUACCCUGGUAGUCCACGCCGUAAACGUUGGGCACUAGGUGUGGGGAGCCGUCAACGCUCUCUGUGCCGUAGCUAACGCAUUAAGUGCCCCGCCUGGGGAGUACGGCCGCAAGGCUAAAACUCAAAGGAAUUGACGGGGGCCCGCGACAAGCGGCGGAGCAUGUUGCUUAAUUCGAGGCAACGCGAAGAACCUUACCUAGGUUGAACUAUGCAGGAAAAGCCACAGAGAUGUGGUGUCCUUCGGGGCCUGCGAUAGGUGGUGCAUGGCUGUCGUCAGCUCGUGUCGUGAGAUGUUGGGUUAAGUCCCGCAACGAGCGCAACCCUUGUCCUAUGUUGCCAGCGGGUUAAAGCCGGGGACUCGUAGGAGACUGCCGGGGUCAACUCGGAGGAAGGUGGGACGACGUCAAGUCAUCAUGCCCCUUAUGUCUAGGGCUGCAAACAUGCUACAAUGGCCGGUACAGAGGGCUGCGAAACCGCGAGGUCGAGCGAAUCCCAAAAAGCCGGUCUCAGUUCGGAUUGAAGUCUGCAACUCGACUU